UAGGGAAUCUUCGGCAAUGGACGGAAGUCUGACCGAGCAACGCCGCGUGAGUGAAGAAGGUUUUCGGAUCGUAAAGCUCUGUUGUUAGAGAAGAACGUUGGUAGGAGUGGAAAAUCUACCAAGUGACGGUAACUAACCAGAAAGGGACGGCUAACUACGUGCCAGCAGCCGCGGUAAUACGUAGGUCCCGAGCGUUGUCCGGAUUGAUUGGGCGUAACGCGAGCGCAGGCGGUUCUUUAAGUCUGAAGUUAAAGGCAGUGGCUUAACCAUUGUACGCUUUGGAAACUGGAGGACUUGAUUGCAGAAGGGGAGAGUGGAAUUCCAUGUGUAGCGGUGAAAUGCGUAGAUAUAUGGAGGAACACCGGUGGCGAAAGCGGCUCUCUGGUCUGUAACUGACGCUGAGGCUCGAAAGCGUGGGGAGCAAACAGG
rnacentral:rRNA from 1 species